GUCCUUGUGGCUUAGUGAUUAGAUCGUCCGCCUCGGAUGCGGGUGGUCGUAGGUUUGAUCCCCGGUCGAGUCAUACCAAAGACA